AUGUGACCAGAGCAUCUGGAAUCCCAGCUUUCCAGAGCUGAGAUGGGCGGUGAAGAUAGAAGACUCCGGCUGAAGCUCCAGAAGUUUCAGUAAUAUCAAUGGUUUAUGAUGCCUGGGAUUCGUUGUUUUCCUCGGCACUACGCUACCCAAAUGGGACAGCGCAGGGGAGGAAUCAGGUACUUCAGCUCACCAUUCAAGGAGUGCAGCUCAUCGUGCCAAAGAAGGUGUGGGAGACAUCAUGGUGGCAGAUGCACACAGCUGGGACUCCUUGCAACUCAGUGCACCAGGAAGUAGAGAGCUUGGGCCACAAUUGGAGCCAGGUUAUAAAGGAUAUUGGCAUCAAGACAUUCCAAAUCUAUGAGGCAACAGCGUGACCUAUGACCUGCAGACCCGUCUCCAAGACAAUGACCACCAUAUUCCCAGAAUCGAUUUGGCUUACCUCUCACCCUUACUUGUGUUAUGUCAUUUUCCAUAUAAAUAAGGAGAACACCCUCU